rnacentral:lncRNA from 1 species
GAAGUAGUAGCGCCGGGAGUGCCGGCUAUUCUUGCCGUAUUAAUUGUGCAGCCGACCCUUUUUGAAAGGAUUAAAGAGUUACAGGCUUCGGAUCCUUAUCUCCAAAAGGUUCGAGGUGAAGUUGGACGAGGUAAUGCCGAAGACUUUGGCAUUGGCGUCGAUGGCGCACUUCGAUUUAGGAAUCGAUGGUGCGUGCCUAAUGAUGAAGACGUUCGAAGGGCGAUUAUGCAAGAAGCGCACCAAUCCCCCUACAGCAUACACCCUGGCAACACUAAGAUGUACCAGGACCUGAAAGUGCAUUAUUGGUGGCCGGGCAUGAAGCGAGAUGUUGGCGAGUUCGUGGCGCAGUGUCUCACGUGCCAACAAGUAAAAGCGGAGCGCCGAUUUCCGACGGGAAAGUUACAAAGUCUAUCAAUACCCGUUUGGAUGCGAUGGACUUUAUUACUAGUUUGCCUCGAUCACAAGGCGUACACGAUGCAAUAUGGGUGAUAGUGGAUCGAUUGACAAAAUCGGCACACUUUCUGCCGAUACACACUACGUGGUCGGGAGACAAGUUAGCUCAAGUCUAUCUCGACGAGGUUGUGAGACUUCAUGGGGUUCCGGUGUCGAUUGUAUCAGAUCGAGACCCCAGAUUCACAUCCCACUUUUAGAAGAGCUUGCAAGAUGCAUUGGGCACACGGCUCGACUUCAGUAUAGCGUUUCAUCCUCAGACUGAUGGACGGUCGGAGCGGACGAUACAAAUCCUUGAGGAUUUGCUUCGAGCAUGUGUACUCGAUUACAAAGGGUGGUUGGCAUGAUUUCUUGCCGAUGGCAGAGUUCGCGUAUAAUAACAGUUACCAAGAAAGUAUCGCGAUGGUGCCAUUUGAGGCAUUGUAUGGUAGGAAGUGUCGUUCUCUUGUCCAUUGGAGCGAUGUGGGCGAGAGGGCAGCUCUCGGCCCGGACGUAGUACGAGAGGCGGAGGAAAAAGUUCGCCUAGCCCUUCAACGGCUAGUGACGGCACAAUCAAGGCAGAAAAGCUAUGCCGACAAGCGAAGAAAAGACUUAGAGUUCGCGGUUGGAGACCGCGUAUUUUUAAAAGUGUCACCGAUGCGCGGAGUGAGACGUUUUUGGGUCCACGGGAAGCUAAGUCCUCGAUAUGUUAGACCAUUCGAGAUAUUGGAGCGUGUGGGUGUGGUGGCAUACAGGCUCGCACUACCAACGAGACUCGCGGGAGUUCACAACGUUUUCCAUGUGUCAAACCUUUGAAAGUAUAUUCGCAACUCGACACAUGUGUUAGAGUAUGAGCCCGUAGAGUUACGUGAGGAUAUGUCCUAUGAGGAGUACCCAGUGUGCAUCCUCUAUAGAGAGGAAAGGAAGCUACGGAGUCGCAGGAUUCCAUAUGUGAAAGUCCAAUGGGGUAACUAUGCGGUGCGAGAAGCCAAUUGGGUGCUCGAGGAGACUAUGCGAAGAGAGUAUCCGCAUCUAUUCGAGUCAACGAGUUAAGGUACGGUUAAUUUCGCGAACGAAAUUAUUUUAAGGGGUGGAGAAUGUAAUAUAUCGAAACUUCGGUAAACGAAUAUCGAACUUUAGUUAAAUUGACCAAAGUGCAAGAUUGGUACGCUUUUGAAAUGCCGAAGGCGUUAAAAUGAGUAAAAGUGCAUUGUGGGAGGUUUUCGAGAGCUAAAGAAUCAAAAAUCUGCAAACUGCAGUUUUUGGGCUCUCGAGGACCGGUCCCUGUUGGAGAGACUGGUCCCCGAACGUGUGAGAAGCCAGCGAGGGAAAAAAUUGGCUAAGUCCCUGAAGAUCAGCUCUCGGGAACCGGUCCCUGCAGGAGAGACCGGUCCGCAAGAGACCGGUCCCAUCGGGAGGGACCGGUUGCGUCUGGCGAUAGCCCUGCUGAGCUGCGGGAGAGCUCUCUGGGACCGGUCCCAGGUCGAGGAGACCGGUCCCUGAGCGCGAAAAGGGCCCAGUCUGGGCAGUGUAAUGGAAUAAUAGUUGAGGGGCGCAAAUGCAAUUAUGUAACAAAUGGGUUAUGUUAAGGGGUAUGAGAGCUCUUCUCCCAUUUCUCACCCACACACCCCUCUCAUUUCUCUCUCUUUCUCUCUCUAGAAGACAAGGAGGAGAAGAAGAAGAAGAAAAAGAAGAAAAAGGAGGUGGAGAACAAGAAGAAUGAGUGAAGAAACUCCCUCAUCUCCUUCUCUAGCUUGGUGAAGUAAAGCUUUUAGAGGUAAGCUUUGCCCUCUCUCAUGGUAGAACCCAAACUAGGGUUUGGAUUGAGCUAAGAAUGGUUUUUAUAGAACCUUUAGGGUAUUUGAAGCUUUCUUUUGCUUCUCUAAGAGAUCAAACCUAGGGUUAUGAUAUAUGUGAAGCUAGGGCACCCAAAUUUGGGGCUUUUGCUUGUGAGGGAUUCAAAGUGAAAUUGACCCUCUAGAAACCUAAUUGGGGGUAUUUCUGACGCGUUGGUCCGCUCGGUUUAAUGUUACGAAAAGCCUAUGCAGAGAUAUAAGCAAAAAGGGCCUAAUUUGGCUUCGUUUUGCCGCAGGUAACGAUCUAGGCGGCUAGAAAUUUCGAGAAAAUCACCGUAGCACCUAAGCAAGCCUACGAGGUGGGUGGUGCUAUCCAAACUCAUUGAAAUUCUUUCUAUGCCUAAUGUGUCAUUCAAUUGAGCAUAUCAAUAUAUAUUGUUACAUGCAUUAUACGGUAGAUGUGAUGAUAUCUAUGUGAAUGUUGCAUGAUGUGAGUACACCUGCAUUCGGAACGGUUGAGAACCUAGAGAAACCCUUUUUAUGCAUGAGAUGUAAUGUAAGAAUCCUAGUGGAGACAUGAACAAUGUGACACAAUGAACAUAGAUCGAGUGGUAUUCGAAAUUGUAGAGUUGACACUAGAGUUAGUGUGUGGUGUUAAGAAUAAAUGUGGCGUAAAGAGCGAUAACAAUGGCUAGAGAUAAUGUAAAGCAAUGUGGCAUAAAGAACGAGUAAAGCAAAAAGAAUAGCGACAAUGCCUAGAGUUAGCAACUAAUGUGAUGUAAAGAACACUAGAGUUAGUGUAAUGACAUGAUUGAAAUAAUUAUCUUUUGAGUUAAGGAUUUGAUCAUACUUGCUAUAAGUCCGUGCUCAAGGGUGGUAGCUCCCCCUCGAGCGAUGCGCUCCGGAGUUUGUCAUCACUGGGUUGGUGCUGUUCCCCAGAGGACGGUCCUAGCGGGAGGAAGCUGAGGGCCCGCGAUUAUGGAUUUUGAGUUGGCAAGUUAAUGAGGCAAAACCCCCGGGUUAGCCGUGAGAUUGAACGAAAGAACAAAGAACCAAAAGAAGAAAGAACUUGCAUAUUGCAUGAGUUUUUAUGUUGAGCAUCUUUAUUGCUAUAUUGUUCAGGCAUAUUAGUAUCAUGUGUAUAGUUUGGUUACUAUCUUUCAGCUUAUCAUUUCUAUUAUGCCUGAUUUAGACCUAGCGGGAAAGUCAGUGAGAUUGGGGCCGAACCCACUGGGAACUUCGUUGUAGUUCUCACCCCACUAUUUCCACAGAGCUGGGACCGAGCAUGCCGGCGAGCGACCAUGGUAAAGGUAUCGCACCCUAGACAGUGGCCACCCGAGUCGAGUUGUUUUACAUUUUGUUAGUAAUUUACCUAUGAUCAUCUUUUGUACUUGAUGACUAGUGAUGUAAAGCAAAGAAUGUAAAGUUUGUUUUGAGUUAAUGUGAUGUAAGAAAGAAAUGAUGAAAAGUAUGUAAAGAAUUAUGAAUGUACAAGUCAAGUGACAAGUAUGUGAUCAAAGUUUGAAUCAUAGUACAUGUUAAAUGUUUCAUUUACUAUUCUCUCACUCUUGGCUAUUGCUUACCCUCAUGUAAGCCGUUUGUGUAUGUUUCCGCUAGUGCUUUUCUUUAUUUGAAAAUGUACAGGUGAUGAGCCUUGGGCGGACAGAAAAAACUCUGUCCGUUCGGCGUCUGUUUGACGUGCCCGAACCGGCCCAAAUUGGUAUCGGCCUCGGGGCGUGACAGAUAAUAACCAUUAUCCAUUGGAGUGUCAAUAGGUUUCAAAUUAUGCAUUCGGAAUCGCUCCAAAAUUCUUUUAAUGUAAGUCUCUUGAGACAAACUUAAGAAUUUUCGAGAUCGAUCCCUAUGGAUCUUGACUCCCAAUACAUAAUCCGCUUGUCCCAUAUCCUUCAUCUCAAAAGUAGAGGACAACCACUUCUGUGUGGUGAUAAUUAACUUCAUAUUAUUUCCGGCUAACUAGAUAUCGUCUACAUAUAGUAAAAGAAUAAGAAAACUUUUUUCUUACCUUUUAACGUACACGCAAUGGUCUUCUUCGAUCAUCACAAAGCCUAUUGAAACAAUUGCUCUAUGAAAACAUUGAUACCAUUGCCUAGACGAUUGUUUCAAGCCGUAAAUGGAACGUUUUAAGCGGCACACUUUGCGCUCUUGUCCUUCGGCCAUAAAACCAGGAGGUUGAUUCAUAUAAAUCUCCUUGUCUAGUUCCCCAUUGAGAAAUGCAGUCUUCACAUCCAUUUGGAACAAUUCCAAAUCUAAAUGUGCGAUGAUAGCCAGAAUCAAGCGAAUUGAGGCAAACCUCACCAUUGGGGAGAAUAUCUCUUCAUAGUCUACUCCCUCCUCUUGGGUGUAUCCUUUCGCCACUAGUCGGGCCUUAUAUCUAUCAAUUGAUCCAUCCGCCUUCCGUUUUAUUUUAAAAAUCCAUUUAUUUCCAAUAGCUUUACGUCCAGACGGAAGAUCUACUAACACCCACACAUUGUUCCUAGCCAUAGAACUCAUCUCAUCCUCCAUAACAGCUAGCCAUUUAUCACAAACUGGUGAACUCAUAGCUUCAACAUAAGAAGCUGGCUCAUCAACAUCCGUAGAAGCACACAUGAACGAUUCCCCUUCAAUCUCAAAUCAACGACGGGGAAUACCUCCACAUUUACUUCUUCGUAAUAAUGGACUUUGUGAGCCAUGGUCAAUUGGCACACUCCCACUGACCAUAGGAUCGCUCCCACUGUUUUGGGCUAUUUUUUCAUGUGGCCUCAGUGCCUCAUUCUUGCCUAACAAUGGGACAUUUCCAUUUAGUUCUUGCAACUCAUAUAGUGCAAGAUCCUUUUUAAUCUCACCAAUGUCUGAAAAAAUAUUCUCAAGAAAAUCCACAUCGCGCUACUCUAUCUCAGUCAUUCCUCCAUCAGGAUGCUUGCCAUACAUCACAUAGCCUUUCGAGCAAUCAGAAUAUCUAAUAAAAAUUUAUUUAUUUGCUCUAGGGCCUAACUUUUCAUAUUUAUGAGAAGUAUUAUGCACAUAUCUUGCCGAUCCCUAUGGGUAUAUGGUUUUCAAAUUUGCCUUUAUACCAUGCCAUAGCUCAUAGGAAGUUGAAGGACUGACUUAGAGGGCACUCGGUUAAGUAUAUAGGCAGCAGUCAACAGUGCAUCACCCCAAAAACUAAUUGGGAUUGGCUUGCGCCAUCAUUGACCUAACCAUUUUCAAAAGUGUCCUAUUCUAACCUCUCUGCAACACAAUUUUGUUGCGGAGUGCCGGGAACAGUUAACUAUCUGCUUAUUCCCUUUUCCUCACAUAGUUUCCUGAACUGCUCUGAUAAAUACUCUCGUCCUCUAUCAGUACGUAGAACUUUUAGAGUUCUUUCUGUUUGGUUCUCAACCUCCACUAAGAAGCGUUUGAAAUAAUCUAAAAACUUCUGAACGGUGAGACAAUAGAUAUACUGAACUAUAACGGGAGUAGUCAUCAAUGAAAGUGAGGAAAUAGUACGCGCCAUGACGUGCUCUCAUAUUCAUAGGUCCGCAUAUGUCUGAAUAAACUAGCUCUAAUGGAUCAGUUGCUCUACGUGUCUUACCAAAAGGCUUUCUGCAGGCCUUCACUGCUAAACAUAGUUCACAAGGAGGUAGACUAAACUUAGCAAGUGACCCCAACAGGCCUUCUCUAGCUAGUCGAGCCAUUCUUUCUUGUCCAAUGUGACCCAAUCUCGCAUGCCAUUUGAUAGAAUCAAACACAAUAUCAGAAGAAACUAAUAAAGUAGAAUUAUUGUUAUUAUUAAUGAAAUCCAAGUCCAAAUCUAAGACAAAAAAAUCAUUCUUUAAACAACCAUUACCAUAAAAGUCCUUGCCCAAAUAAAUAGCUAACUGAGUAUCCGUAAAUUGAAAAGAAAAACCUAAUCUUAGUAAUGCUAAAACUGAUAAUAGAUUACAUCGGAUGUUCGAUGCAUACAGCACAUCAUGUAAUAUCAAAUAACGACCAUUGCGCAAUCUAAGUUGGUAUGCGCCUAUACCAAGGACUUCUUCCUCAGUGUCGUUUUUCAUCAUGACAUAAUGGCUGCCAGCAGACACCUGAUGAUAAUCCACAUAUCCUGCUCGAUCCCUCGUUACAUGCUUUGUUGCUCCUGUGUCUACAAUCCAAUCAGAGAGAGCGUGAGCAACAAAAACAUGCGAACAUACAUAAAUAAAAGAGUCAGGAUUGGGAUUUACCUUCUUCGGCUCAGUGCAAUCACGAGCAAAGUGUCCCAUGUUUCCACUGUUAUAGCAUUUCACUUUAUUUAAGUUUUUCUUUUCACGCCUGCCUUUGCGAUGCUUUUCAAUUCCGCCCUCAUUUGGCGCGCGGUUCCCAGUCAUUGCAUAUUUAUUUUCUCUAUUUCGGCACUUGUGCUUAGGCCACUUGCCUCUGCGCUGUCCACCGUGGGCAACGAGUGCAUUAGCACGGUACGCCUCUCUACGCUCCACUUCCAACUCAAGAAGUUGAGCUAUAUCAUUGAAGGUCUUAAUACCCUCAUUGUGAGUCAGCACAACCUUGAUUUGAUCCCAAGAUGAAUCUGGUAAGGACCUUAUAACUGACUAAACCUGUUGUUCGUGAGCUCACAACCGACUGCUUUAAGUUCUCUUAUCACAGCAAACAUCACCAUUAAGUGCUCUGCCAUAGAAUGCUUCGGGUCCAACAUGUAUUGAUUGAAUUUGAGAUCCAAGGCACGAAGCCUUGUGGUCGACGUGCUACCAUAUUUCACUUUGAGCUGCUCCAACAUAUUUUUAGCAGUCUCAUAAUUCUCAAAUUCUUUGGUCAAAUCAUCAUGCAUACAGCUCAAAUUGUAUAGCAUGCAUUUUGAUCUUUCUCAAGCCACUCAUUAUAGGCUUGCAAAUUGCGAUGGUGCUGCGCAGUCGUGCCUUAUUCAGGCCGAACCAUACUGUUGGUUAAAUGGCUAAGCAUCCCUUUCUCAUUUAGGAGAUAUUGAAUUUUUUUAUGCCACAUGUCAUAAUUCGUUCCAUCAAGCCGAUUUUGAUUUAAUAAAUCCGCGAUGGAAAAAUUUUUGGAAGCCAUAUAUCACUACAAUAAUGCACAUAAUUUUAAAUUAGGCACAAAUAUUCACAAUAUUAUUCUCAAUUCAAUUUGAUAAUUAAAUUUCUCACUGCAUUUUCAAAUCGAAAAUUUCGCCUUUAGAAAAGACUAAUAAUCAUCUUAUCCAAUGCAGAUUAAAAUAAUAUAUCAAAUUAAUCAAGAAUAAAUCCACGUCAUAAAUUAAUUAAUAUGCAAUAUAUUAAAUAAUAAUAAUAAUAAUAAUAAUUGCAUAUCAUAAUAUUAUAUAUAAAAGAAUGACAUGCUUAAUUUUCAUAACUAUUUGUUAGUCAGGAUGUAUAAGAGCAAGCAGUUUGAAGCUGAAGUUGUGGGUUCCAAUUCCAUCGCUGUCAAAAUAUAUACUUAUAUAUAUUUUUAUUAUCUUUUAUAGAAGGCCCUCCUGCGCAUGCGAGCCCCCGCAAGCCUGGCAUGGGCGCCUGGCAUGGGCGGGCCUCUUAUACGCAGCCUAUUGUGCUAUUGAGCUAUUAAUAAUUGGACAGGCUGACAGUGUGCUUGCAUGCAAGCUUCUUGCCUCAACCCAAUCCACGGCUUAUUAUAUUUUAACAAUUUAAAAAUAUAUAUUCGAUGUUAAAAAACAAAUCAUCGAGCGAAAACAAGCACUUUUGAGGCUCUGAUACCACUGUUGGAUAAAAUUAAUUAAAUACCCAAAUAAAACAAGUCGCAAGAAUCACAUAGAUUUUUACAUACCUCUUUUUGAUGCGGAAUAGUUCUUACUCGUUGCAAUCCGGCUACUAGAGUCGAUCGCCGCACACUGCUCAAAUCCCUAGGGUUUAUAAUGGUGCCCUAGAGCGAAUCCAAGAGAGAGAAUUUUGUGGAGAGAUGAUUCUUUUUUUUUUUUCGUUUUCUUUCGUGUGUCCUAUGUGGCGAAUACCUCAUAUAUUUAUAGGCCAUAAGGGAAACAUUAAUUCUAAUCAUAUUCUAACUAAAUCUCACAUAGAUAGAGAUUUAAACAGAUUAGGGUUUAUGUCACGCCACCGCCCCGAGACCGUUACCAAUUUGGCACGGUUCGGCGCGGCGAACGGACUGCCGAACGGACAGCAAUUCCUCUGUCCGCCCAAGGCUGGAACAACUAGAUUGUGUACAACAAGUUCCCAGGAAACAACUUGAAUACAUAACACAAUCAAACCACAACCACGAGAGCACAAACAGUGCUUAACCACUAAGAGCAAACAACACAUGUAAAGCAUACAAGUGAUAAAAGAGAGAUAUACUUAACUAUUGAUCCAUUUAACUUUAUACAAUUAUUACAACUUGUAUUCUUUCAAACCUAUACAAUGUAUAUACAAUCCUUUCAACCUCACCCUAUACAUUCAACUACUCUCAAAAUGGUACAGGGUACAACUAAUGCAUGAGGAAAGUAAACCUCUACUAAUGUCACUAGGGCGCUACGCCCUUGCCGCGAUCCUCACAGGGGACGCUCGAACUCGGACCUGCAAUAUGGUGGAGUGAGAACUACGAAUAGUUCCCAGUGGGUUCGGCCGCCGACUCCGCCGAUCUCCCCACUAGGUCUUAAGCAGGCACAGAUAGACAUGCAUCAUUCUAGAUAGAUAUAUAAAACUGAAAGCAGUAACCGUAAUGAACAGCUAUGAUCUAUCAAUGCCUCAAUCCAGAAUGAUGCAUGCAUGGAACUCAUAGUAAGAAGGCUGGCUAUCAAGCUACCAUGUUCAACAACAAAGUCAUUCAUCUGAUUACCCAAUCUCUCGGCGAACGCAAGGUUCGCUCACAAUCUCACGUCUCUAAGUCUCAUAGGAGAGGUGGCUAGCUAUUCACCUACCCCGAGACCGCCUGCGGACACUACACUGGUCCAAGGGCACUACACUGGCCCCCUCGCGUGCCAAACUCCGGAGUGCACUACCUGUGAGGAGCUACCUCCACAGGUGCAGACAGGCUAAGUGAGCUCGAUCCAAUCUCGUGAACUGGGACACCCUAACUAACCAGGGGUGAUAGCAACAUAGUAUCUCAACUAUACUAGUGUUUUCAUGCCACUCAUGCACUACUUAAUGCCACUCGUUCAAUGUUUAGGGUUAACUAGAUGCCACUCGUUCUCUUGACAAGUUCUUGAUACACUAGUUUUCCAGUAUACUAGGUUCAUCUCUGCAUAAACAUAUUCAUCAUAUAUAGGGCGAACUAUCUCAUGGUAUUCAACUCAUGCAUACUAGGUUUUCAUUCAUGGUAUCCACAACCUAAAACAUCACUAGCAUGCAAGGAUAUGUACAAUCACAUUUAACACCCUAUAAUGCUAUAUCGCAAUAUGUAAAUGAUCAACAUUAGUACUCAGACAUAAAGAGCAGCCCGACCGCUUCGGGAUGGCACUCCCCCACCUCUUGGUGAUGCCGUAACUCUUCUAUUGCGAUUCGCCGACGUUUCGACGCCUCGUUGGCCUUCUAAGCGAGAACGAAGCUCCGAAGGUCUUCUUGGCGAUAACUUCGCACCUACUCGACGGAUCGACGAACCGUCUUCGCCGACGCGUUCAGAGACCUAGCAAUUAGGUUUGCGACCCAUCAAAUUAGAUCAAAAUCCUAGAUUUGCCAAAAUCCCAAAUCGAAGCCCUAGAUCUCGAUACUGGAGAAAUCCGCGGUGCGAACUUCGAUUUCGAGCUCGAACCUUCUCCCUAGCUUCAAUAGGUUCCUUUUGAACCAAUUCCAAGCUAUAAAACCCUAGCUUCCAAAAUCCGCCAUUAAAGGGUUUGAGGUUUACCUUAAUACCAAGCUCCAAGCUUGAAGAGGGAGAGAAGAAGAUGAUCUUCUUCUUCUUCUUAGUCUUCUCCUUCUCUUUCUCCUUCUUUUCCUUCCUCUCCUUCUUCUUCUUCUCCUUCUCCUUCUUUUCCUUUCUAGAGAGAGAGAGGGAAAGAGUGAGAGAGAGGAAGAGAGCAACUGAGAGGGAGAGGGGUCCCCCUAGCCUCUCUUAUAAGCCACUUUGCAAAUAAAACCCUCAACUUUCCGCUUAUUACACAGCCUCUUACUGGGCAUUUUCGCAGUGAGGGACCGGUCCCAGGUCGGGGAGACCGGUCCCCGAGAGCUGCACAAUUAGGCAGAGGGGAUUUCGCGUUCGGGAACCGGUCCUUGCCUGAGAGACCGGUCCCCGGGAGACCGGUCCUUGUCCGAGAGACCGGUUCCCGAGAGCAACACCUUCGGGACUUAGCCAAAUUUCGGCUUCUCUCGCUGGGCCAACGUUCGGGAACCGGUCCCUGCCUGCCAGGGACCGGUCUCAUCAGAAACCCCCGCAGCCCAGCCCGAUGGGACCGGUCCCUCCCUGCCAGGGAUCGGUCCCCAAGAGCAUUUCUGCUCCAGUGCAGCUUUUGCACUGGUGCUCUCGCGGACACCUCCUCAAUGCACCUCAUGCAUUGCGAUCACCUUCGGACUCUCCGAAGCUCGCACGCUCGACAAUCAGUCGAUUCUUGACGAAGUCUAAUUCUCGGGUUUCGAGAAUUCACUUCCCUUACAGUUUAUCUGUUAGAUUUAUUCCUUAUCUCAUGUGGACUAGGAAUAUAACUGAUAAUUACAAAUAUUUAUUUCUUAUCCUAUAUGGAUUAGAAAUAUUUUAGAUAAGUCUCAAUGUGGACAAAUCCUAACAUAGUCAAUUUGGAAUGCUGCACUUGUUUUACUCGUACCUCCUAUUAUAAAUAUUAUAUUAUAUUCAAUGAAAUGUGUAGGCAAAUAAAUACCCUAUACAUUCCUUUCAAAAAAAAUGGGACUACUACACUUGGGCUUGAAAAUGUAACUUUUUAAGGCAAGAUCAGGCCCAAGUUGGCAAAAUAAACUGGGUGUUCGGGCCCAACCACAGUUUUCUCAUAUCAUAUCUAUCACAGAAUAAAUCUAUAAUAAUUGAGUGGGACUUAUUAAUUCUGACCGUCAUUGCAGUUGUUUAUUUUGCAGGAAUCGAAUUCAAAGAUUUUAUUCCACUCCGGAAUAGGAAUGACCCAAUCCAUUGGCUAAAUCCGACUUCGAAUCCCAAAUUAGCACAUUUCACUCAAAACCCUGUCUCGCAAACACCAUCCAGCCUAUUCUCCUUUCAUCAUUCCCCUCUCUUAACCAAGACCUUCUUAAAACCUAAAUUUCUAUUCCCAUUUAUAUUCUAAUAACGAGCCAUAUAUUUUUGAAUGAUUCGUCAUUUUAUUUUUCAUUCCUAUUCCAAUUAUGAAUCAAUCAUGCCUUUAGGAUAAAAUACAAAAAUAACUAUGCACUUUAGCUCACGCCCCAAUUACCUCCUCAUAUAAAACAAUGGCACCAUUUUCCAUCUGUACUUAACUAAUUUUCACAGUAGCUCCACCAAUUUAGAAUAAUUUUCAAUUUGAAUGCUUACACGAUACAAUCACAUGAAUUGACUCGGCAACCUCAUAAAGUGUUAUAAAAAAAAAAAAAAAAAAAAAAAAAAGGGUAACAAUAGUAAGAGAGAUCAUCUUUACUUCCAAACUGCAUUAUGGAAAGCCGCAAAUUAGACAUUGAGAUAUAGAACCUACAAGAUGUGCAGCUGUAAACUAGAAGUUGCAUGCGAAGGGAUAAUUACCAGAAGAGCUAAAACUGCAGCCGACAAUUUUUGUAAUUUAUUUACAAGGCUGAACACUUUCUGAUCCUGCGCUUGUGCCGCAACUGUCCCCACAACCGAAGAUAGCUAAGAACAAAACGCUGCAUUGGCUAGAAAGAAAUUUGUGUUGCUUGCUUUAGCUGCAUUCUUCUCAAAUCAAGAAGCAGAUGCUAACUUGAGGAAAUGAAUGAUCAUUUCUUCAUGUCAUUUCUACAUGCUUGUUCAAUAAAUAGCAAGAAUGUCCUACAAUUAUAAUUCGCUAAUGGUCUUAACAACAGUCCUUUUGCUGUAAGCCAUGUUUCUUAGCUACAGUGCAAAGGAUCUUUUGCAAAUGAAAUAUCUCAUCCUCCCUCUCUCGGAGUUCCUGCUUCAACCUCUCAAUCUCUGUGACAUGUUUGCACGGAUGCGGACAUGUUCUUUGCCUCUUUGACUCGCUGGUAUCAUCUUGUGCUUGUUCGAGUUCGGAAUUGAUGUUCUCGACCUCUCCCGCUCUCUUCUUUGACGUGUCGCACUUCUUAAACACGGCAUCUGCUGUCAUCUUUCGAGCAUAAAAGCUGGUGGUCUGUCCGCUGCUAAGCUUCAAGAAGAUGUGCUUCUGGGGCCGACCACAGGAGUCCUGUGAAUAAGGAUGAGGAGAGAAAGCAAGAGUCACUAAGUGAAAGCACAAGGCUCCUAACAUCUUCUAAACAACAGAUAGAAUGACCUGGAAAUUAUACGAAAAAAACCUAUCCUAGCAGUUCAUCUGAUGGCAAAAUUCAUUUCCAGCAUGAGUGCAUAAUGACAAUCUAUUAGCUAUUUGCUUAGGCGUGAAAACAGAUCGGAGCAAGGAUUAAACUACCCAUCAGCACAGGCCGUAUCCACCGUGCCGUGUCGUACUAGCAAGAUAUCGGCACGAUACAGCCUCCAUGCCGAUGACACAACUCAAAACCCUCUAUUCUUGAAAUUAGUAAGUAAUUUUCUCAAUAAAGUUCAAAAAAAUUGAUAAAAAUACAAUAAUAAAUAAUUGGUAUAAUUUGUUGCUAAAGAAAAUAAAUAUUUCAUGCCAUUAUAUGUCGGCACACAUAUUUUUUAUGACCGGCACGCAUCGGCACGGCUCGGCACACACGGUGCCGUACCGUGCUAGCAAGUUUCCAGCAUGCCCUCAUGCCACGGCACUUAAAUCCUUGGAUCGGAUAUUAUCCUACAAUAUCCGCAUCCAUAUCCGAUCUCAUCCACAUCCCGAUUAAAAAAAUCUGAAUCCAGUCGAAUACCGAUGCUGUUACGGUUUUAGAGAGCCAAAAAAAAUCCGGAUGUCUGAAAAAAAGAGAUAUGAAUACAAAUAUCUGGAUUUUUAGUAGCAUUACAUUUGCAUUUAUAUUAAUAUGUAAGGGGGAUGAUAUAUAUUUAUAUAUACUCCGGCUAUGGUGCUUUUAAAAGCACCAAGUACCUGGUGCUGGCAAGUUUUCCACCGUUAGAUUUAUCCCUUUGACCAAUUCCACCCCUUAAGUCAUGCUAUUCUACCAAUCACCCACUAAACCCUAAAAGAGACCACUAUUUUCCUAACCCUACAAAUCUUCAAAAAGAGGCCGAAAACCCACAAGCACCAAUGACUUGGUUCUUUUAAAAGUAUAGGAGUUCAAUUUUAUAUACAUAUAUAUUGAGUACGUCUCCGGUACUUUCGAAAGUACGGAGACCUCCGUGCUUGUAAGUUGUUUUCGAUAAUAGGACAUCCGAUUCGACGAUCGGAUCCGUUAGGUAUAAUCUAUCCUAUUGGAACUAUCUAGAAACCAAAUUUUAUAAUUUUUUGACAUCAUUUACCAAGCGAUCAAAAGGUCACAAAAAUAACUAUUUUAACGGCCGAUGUAGCACAUUUUUAAGUUCAAUGGUGUAGAAGUAUUCAAAUUACAUGAAAAUUUAAUAAAAAUUCUACUUCACAUCAAUAGCAAGAUCAAUACUUCGGAUUUGAAAUUUGAAUCCUUUAUCACUGUUUUUUAUGAGAUUUUUAUUUUCAGUCGUUCAUUUUGAGGCUACUCAUUCACUAGACAAACGAACUCAAAAAAUUAUGAAAUUUGAUUUCUAGAUAGUUCCAAUAGCGUAGAUCAUGUCUAACGAAAUCGAUCGCCGAAUCGGAUAUUCUAUCAUCGAAAACAACUUACAAGCACAGAGGCCUCCGUACUUUCGAAAGCAUAGGAGCCUAGCUCUCUCUCUCUCUCUAUAUAUAUAUAUAGUAGGAAAAUAACGUGGCUUUUUGUGUUCUUCCAUUUAUUUUAUAAGAGUUUUAUAUUAAAAUUGCAUUUAUAUUUGUUAAAUCUUAGAUUUUAUUCAAUAAAAUAUAGGUAUAUAAAAACUUAAACAUAAGUGUGAAACGUUAGUUGCAUUGUUGCUAAUGCUAGUUCAUGUUAGAAUAUAUAAAAAUUAGAAUAAUAUCUGAAUUCAAAUGCGAUCCAUAUCUGAAUCCGAAGAAAUAUUUGACCGUAUCAAAAUCCGUUUUUAGCGGAUAUGAUAACGCACAUAUAAACAUAUCCGAAUUCGUAUCCCAAAAAAAAUAGAUUCGAAUAUUAUUUUGUCCAAUAUCCAAGGCGUAUCCGAUCCGUUUUCACCCCUAUAUUUGCCACAGGUAAUAAUGAAAUCCAUAAUUGCAGCUUAAAAGAUCUAAGCUGUGAUAUUUUUAGGAAAUCACUGAUUAAUUUAUUGACACCCUAAUUCAAUUGACUUAGCCCAAACUUGAGAGGUUGUCAAUCUUGAAAAAAAAGUCCAGAAUCCAUUUCGGAAAAUCCUUUAGUUAGGGGUCUCCAUACAUUUUAGCAAUAAAGAAAUUUCAACAGCUGCAGAAAAGGUACUUGGGAAAUUGCAGUAGAGGGAGCUCUCCAUACAUUUUUAGCACGCUUGAGGAACUAGUCUCUAUUCUAGUUAGUAGGCAGAAAAGAUCCUACUAUUUUCUUUCGUAAUUAAAAAGAAUUCUAAUUGGUUUAGCUGAAUCAAAGUCAGAUCAAGCUGACUAUUGAAUUUUUAGGUCUAACAAUAACCACAAAUCAUGGAUUAGAUUUUAACCAAAAACAAACAGACCAAAAAUUUAAUUGAUCAAACAAAAGUUCCCAAACGUGCACACAUAUAAGGGCUUUUUUUCAUUAUAAUCUUUAAAAUUUUUAUGUUUGAUGAUAUGACCACCUAAAAAAAAUAUAUAUUUGGGGAUCUAAGCUUAUUUUUUGCCACAUCAGCACCACGUCGGCACUGGGUUGGGAUUAUAUAUAAAACAGGAAGAAGCGAUAAAAUCAUUCGCCGCUUUCUUUCUAGAAAGAGGCCAUCUUAAUUAUUUUCUCCAAUGACCACCUACAUGGCACCAACAUCGCGAGAAGAGGGACAUAUCCUCAAAUAAAAUUUUGAAAAGGUUGUAUCCCCAAAUUUAAUGAAGGGCUCUUUUGAAACAGAGCGCCGCGCAGAGUGUGCCUUCAUUUAACUCAACAUUGGUCAAUCAGAAUUUAAAAUCAGUUCAGCCAGUGAUCACAAAAUUUGUCGUCGUUUCUCGGGUAAAUUAUCACUUAGUCCCUAUCCUAUUUGUUGGGUUUAACUGUGGUCCUGGACACUGAUUUGUAGCAUUAGCAGGCUCUUUUAACUUCUAAAAUGUUCCAAUCCUUUGUCCUUUAUCAACUUCUGUCGUCCAGAUAGAUGGAAAUCUGAUGUAGUAUGCUAAGUCACUCUUCCUAAGCCCCUUGAUUAUGUCUAAAUGGGAAAACUCCAGCAAUGAAAACACUAAUGCCGAAUUUUUUAUGGAUCUAAAGGGUAACAGAGAACUUAACACGGAGUUAUAAGGUUUCUGUGGAAGGACUUUUCCUGCUCGCACAUAAUUGAUAAGCGUGGGAACAAUGACUUGGUAUGCAACGUUGAAUUUUUGUCACGCAACAAACCAAGGUUUCAGAACCAAUACUGCAGAUACUAACGUUGUAACUUACCCGUUUCCUUGAAGUCAUCAGUUUUGAGUUGUGGUCCACAGUUGACCACUUACUAUUAGAGAAAGACUUGCUGAUAAUGGGUACAAAGUGUUCCACUACAUCCAUACCGUAUAAAUGUGUACAAGAAAACUUUGAGAAGAUUGUCAAUUUCGCACUACUUAUACCUGAUUAGGGUACAUAAAGAUGUAUAGAAACUGUAGACAUGUAAAAAUGACAUGAUGGCACAGAAAGACUAAAGAGGAAAAGCAAAUUGGAAACUUUUGAAUUACUGUAUAUACCUUGCUUUCCCGUCCAUCAAGCACUUUGAAUGCUUCAUUUGCUUCUGCAGCAUUUCUAAAGGAGACAAAUGUUGAAUAGCUUUCACCUCGCACUCUUACAUCUGUCUGCUGCGAAAGCAAUAAUACAAUUUUCAGAAACAAAGCUAACAUCAUUUCAUAAUAUAUAAAAGGCAACGACAAGUAACACCUCGACAGCAACACAAGAAUCUCUUGGGAAUACACUAAGCAGUAGUUGACAAGGUACAUCAACUGGAAUUUUGUGAAGCAGCAGCUUUUCCAGCUUAACUUCAGGCGCCUAAGAUGAUAGAGUAAAUGAUAAGUACACGUUCGCAAGAGGAGCCUAUUUUUGUUCACACAUACAUUAUUUCCAGACGCUUCAAUGGGAUCAUCAAAUCCAUGUUCCAACUUGGCAAGUACUAACUUCAUAGCAGCCCGUGCAUCAUUUAAGCAGUUAUGCGGUUCACCAUCCUCUCGAACAGCAAAUCCCAACACUGACUGCCAGAAUGAAAGAACCAGCACAACCAAAUGUUAUUCAUAAUCACAAAUAAGAGAAAGAAAGUACAUUACUUCCUUCUCAAGGAAUAUAUGUUGAUAUAUUUGUGCAAAUAUUAAAUUGAGCUCACUUUUCAGAGAGAUAUUGAUAGCAGUGAACCUUAUCUUUUGCUGUAAAAUUGUAGUCAAUUCAUAAAGUCAUAUAUGUGCGAUUCAUAGCAGCAACUAUUCUGAUAACUUGCAAAUACUAUUAGUCUACCACAGACUUGGAUGGAUAUCACAUGCUAGUUCUUCCCGAAAGACAGUUGAUCCAUCAAAGCAAAUAUCAAGAAGAGAAAUAAGCUCAAGAACAAAGCAGUUACACACUCAGCAGUGAAAUGAAGAAUGAUUGUACCCAUUCUGACAAUGCAGAAAAAGUGAAAAAAGCAAUACAGAAAUAGGGCAUGUGCGAGCUCCUUCAAACGUAGAUUUUGUUUCCCCUAUGUACCACACUAGAAUGAUACAGCAACCAAUCAUCCUGGAAACAAAAAUAUGGACCUUUUUGGAACUUGGUGUCAGAAAAUCACCGUAUUGUGAGAAACUUAGUAUUAUAUAAACUAAUGGCUCGUUGGAGCGUGUGGCCUGAUGGCGAAAGCGCCAUUCCGUGCACAUUUACGCAUAUACACCUAUUUGCCAUAGUUUGCAUUUUCAGUUUUACAUUAUUCAGUUAUCAGUUGCCUUGAUUUUUUUUUUUUGGCAUUGUGACAUAAUUAUCCCACCGUAGUCCCCUACAUUCUUAAGAGAGUCCAUUUUGGAUGAAGGUGCAGUGUGCACUGUUCAAGCGAAUGGACCCUAACACAUUUGUCCGCUGGCGUGUUACUGAAUUAGGUAUAAUACAUAAAAACACUAAAAUCCAGAAAAUGAUAAGGAUGGCCUAUUGGGGGAAGAUACAGCACUGACAUUAACCUCACCUGCAGGAGAAUUACCCAAAAACUUAACAACCAGGAAAAUACAUUGACGUUUGAUGCAUACCUUACACAAGUUGUUCAAGGAAGGAGAUGCUCCUGUAGGUAAAUCCAUAUACUUAAAAAUGUACGAUGUGUCGAUAACUUGGGGAUAAUCGAAUUUUAGUGCUGUAGAAAGUAGAAGAGAGAAGUUGAUCAUGAGCGGCACAUGUUUGAAUUCUAAAGAAAUAUUUAACAUGAAUCUCGGAAAUAGAUAAAACUAACAGACUAAGCUUGCACUUAUUCUUACCAUGCAAAUCAUUAUAUAAACUGUGGCCAACCAAAAUGGAUCCAUGUGAUAGGAGCUUCCUCAAGUUUUUCUAGAAAAUGUAGGGGACAAACAAUGUUACUUCAACGUAGAAAGAUCAAAAGGUAGCUGCAUAAGACAGAAAAUGACUACCUGUACAUCAACUAAUGAACAAGUAACUCCUUCCAAGUCUUUAGCCGAUAUGCCAGUGAUGUGAGUUCGAUAGUCGGCAACAGCUUUAUUGGGGUUUACAACUUUGUUCAGCUUAACCUAAAUCCAUUAGAAACUUGUAACCAAGUGACCAAAGAAAUGCUCCCGCAUGAAGAAAACUGGACUCAUACAAAUAUUAGUCUAUUAUACGAUUCAUUGAAUAGAAAAGUUUGCAUUUCAUCGCUUGCUCAUAAAGACUGUCUCCUGAAAUUGUCUCCUAAUGCAAUAGGCACUGUACCUCCAAAUUUUGAUCAACUGCACAUACUUUGACGACUGAUUCAGUACCAUCCUGGCAAAGGACCAUCUCACAAUCAAUUGAAAUCAUCGCUUUUGAGUUCAUCACCUCAGAGGUUUUGCCUAUUGUCAUUACCUUCCACCCCUGACAAGAAAUUUUAUCACAUAAGAUCUGAAAAUGAAUCUGGUUAGGGGCGCUAGAGUGACACUAAAAUGGAUUUUUAAAUCAAAGAUUUGAUUGUCAAAGUUUUUAAAUCCAAAUGUCACUGCCCAGUUUAGUUCUCAAAGAGCUCUCACGAUGAACUGGCGAAUGAAUAUAAAUGCUUCUCCCCAGUUAUGUCAUACCAAAGUGGGAUGUUAGGGGAGGGUAAUGACGGUAUCACUAACCUAGAGCACUUUUGCAUGAAGUGUCUAGAUUCAAGAUUUUGAACCUCCAACUAUGUGGUUUCGAGUCCAAGAAUUACCAAUGUACCAAGCAAAGGACACGAACAAGUAAAUGAAAUCAAAUUUUAUUCAUAGGAGAGUAUUUGAAAUUAGGACCACGGAUGAAAACAAUAAAAUUUUUGCCAAACUUAGCAUUCAAAAGGAUAGCUAAAUUACACAUUUGGUCCACAAACAAUGAGCGUGAGAAUUUGGUCCUCAAACUUCAGUUUGUUACAAUUUUGGCGCAUAACUUUUUGAAUUGUUGCAAUCAAAUCCCACAACCCAAUUUAAUAAACUAUAUGUUGACAAAUUAUUGACGUACAAGAAAUGUGGAAAUAUUGUGAUUGAUGAUGAGAUAAUAAUCAGGUAAAAACAUAUAGAACUAACCUGAACUAUAGACCAUUUUGAGUCGGCUACCUAAUCCUUCAAAUUUUUUAUUCUACUACUUGGCUUUUCAAUUUGUUUGAUUUGAAUCAAUCAACGGCAUUUUGAUUUCAAAAUUUGAACCCGUCGUUUAUCUUUACAAGUUUAAUUAGUAUACUUCAUGCAAUUUUCGCAAUUAUAAAUUCAUUAAAGUAAUUAGUUUAAAUUUUGCAGUCAAAGUGUCAUUCACUGACUCAAAUCAAACAAAUUGAAAACCUAAGUAGUAAAAUCAAAAUUUUGAAAGGUCAAGUAGCCAACUCAAAAUGGUCCAAAGUUCUAUACAUUUUUACCUAAUAAUUAAGAUGCUAUAUCACUUCUGUAUCAAUAAUUUGUCAAUAUUUAGCCAAUUAAAUUGGGUUGUGGGACUUGAUUGCAACAAUUCAGAAAGUUCGAGCUAGAAAUUAGAACAAAUUAAAGUUUGAUAACCAAAGUGUCACAAGCCUCAUAGUUUGAGGACCAAAAUUGUUAUUUACCCAAAAGGAUACUUCAUGCUAUGAGCUAAGAAUCAGUAAUAACUAAAAUGAGAAUGAAAAGAGAAUUUACUGUUUUGAACAUGAUCAUUUAGGAACUGCCAAUAGAAAAGGAGUUUUUCCAUAAAAGGUGGUCUGGUAAACAAAUAGAACGCUAAUGAAAACACAACAGCAGGUCCUAUACAUUUUAUGGUCUGGUAAACAAAUGGAACGCUAAUGAAAACACAACAGCAGGUCCUAUACAUGUUUUAAGUUGGACAAUUAAGGUUCUUAAGAGUAAAAAUAUAUUAUCAUCAUUCAAGAAGAAAUACAUUUUAGAGCUCACAAACAAAUCUAAAAAUUUAGAGUUAACCUAAAAUGACAUGGAAGUCUUAUACUAACAUAUAGAACAUGAUAUUCCGAAGGCUAAAAGUUCACUGCAGUUUUAAGGCCAAAUAUAUGAUCAUUUACAAUAGUAAUCAAACUUAUUAAAAUGAAAAUCGAAAUGAUAUGAUUACAGAUAACUCAAUAAUCAUUCUCAUUAAGUAUCACUCCAUCAUUUGCCAACAUGUCAACCCUGAAAUUUCAUGAUUGCAUAUAACAUAUUAACCAACUAUGAAAAAGAAUGAGAGACACUAAGGCAAAACUUCUAGAUGCAUUAAUUGGGCAUGCAUAAAAUUAAUGACUUGCAUUAGUUAACCUCAAAUCAGGGCCCUGAGUAGUAUUUAGUAAGCAGUAUUUACUAAGUAAUGGUAGCUUGUUCAAAUUAAACAUAAAUGAUGAAGCAGACAAACCUCAUUAUAGGAUGGAAAAAAGUAAUGUUGCAUGUGCUGCGGGUUUUCCAUCGUCAACCGGACCAAUCUCUGCAUAUUCAAGAUUCAAAACUGAACAUUUAAAACCAUUAUAAAUAACAGAUAUUAUCGCAAACUGAGAUUGACCAACAAUGGUCGGACAAAACAAGCAAAUAGAAAUCAAAGUAACCUAAAAGAUAGCUGGAGGUUCAGUUACCCUACUAAUACAAUUCCACUAUUAGCUUUCUCGCAACAUCGUCUCUCUACAAUUUGCUAGUAUCUAUAUCUGUAGUACAAGUCCACUUAUUAAUAUAAAUCUACACACUCCGUAUUGCAUUGUUUAGUCUACACUUACACCAGCAGAAGAAAACACUGACCCACGCCAACCUGUCGUGCCAGAAACUAAGCUGGAUUAAUCCAACCCGACAUAAAAUGUCAACAAAUGGACUAAAAGCAACCUAGACCCAAAUUGGUCUAAAUCCCAAGAAACCCAAAAUUUACAUCCAAUGACCCACAUGACCUUUAAUGUAGUACACUGAAUUUUAGCAAUUGCGAAGUUUGAGUGUUAGAAUAGUAAUUGAAACUAUUCUACAGCUUUUGAAGGGUUGCCAAGAGGUUUUCAGCAAGCUACAUGAGUGAUUAAGCGGCCGGAAGAGCGAAAGUGCAUUGCAACGUGCAAAUUCUGGACCUGGCACAGAGUACCGGUACCAGUAUGCAUGAGUACCGGUACCCAGCACACAGCAGCUGCGUGGCUGAGGUUGUUUUGGGUAUUUCACCCUUUGAGCUUAUCCUUUAUCAGUCCAGCUCGAGUCUCAGCUUGUUCUUAUCAGGUUGGGGGCAGGGAACAGGGUAAGAACCCUUUCUCUCUUUCUCUCUCUAGGUUUUUCCAUGAUUGAGUGGAAAAGAUGGAUUUGAGCUUGUUUCCUUUCCUUCUCUUGAUACUUGCUGGUUAGGAAGCUUUGAAGCUGUUAUAGAAGGACAGAGGGAGAAGUUCUGGAGGCUUUUCGCAGCCCAAACUCAGUGAGAAGCGGAGUUAAAGUCUUGUGAGGUAAGUGAUUCUACUAGCUACUAAGUUUGAGUGGUUAGUAGUGAAGUUGAGCAUGUUGUUGGUUGCUUUGCUAGCAGCUGGUGUGGGAGAUGCUACCAGCAGCUGUGGAAGAAAGUUUGGCUGUGGUUUAUCAACUCUAAUCUAAGGAAAAGCUGAACUAAAGCUAUUGGAAGGUAUACUACCUACUAGCCCUCUAGUUGGAUGUAUUGAUUGAAGUGUUGAAGCAGUUUUAAUGCAGUCCACAGCAGGUUCACAGCAAGGAAUUGGACUCCUUUGAGCUGAGUUUAGUGACUCUUAUGAGCUGACUUUGAGGUGCUUCAACCUGAGUUGGAGCCGUGCAAGGUGAGCAACCUAACUUUUUGCUAGUUGGUAUGUGUUGGUGGAGUAGUGAUGAAGUCUAUGGUGUAUGUUUACAACAGAAUUUUCAGCAGGGUAUUAGAUCCUUUUUGGCUGAGCUUGGGGAGCUUUCGAAGGCCGGUUUCGAUGUUCCAAUCUGAACCGAAGUGAAGAAUUAAGCCUUGAUACUAUACUAAGUAAGAUUCUAAGCCUAAACUAUGUAAAUAGGUGAGAUUUACGUGUAGAGAUUGAAGUUAAGCUUCUAGCUGAAUUUGGGGAUAUUUGCUAGGGUGCUUGGAGGCUUCAGAUCACCUUGAGCUGAGUUUUGAUGAUUCUUAAAAGCUGCUUUAAUGUACUUCAACCUGAUUUGAAGUAAAGUUCAAGUGUGGAUUCUAAACUAGGUAUGAUUCUACCUAGAUUGGAUGCAUACAUGAGAUUUUUAGUAAAAGUUGAAGUUCAACUUCUAACUGGAUUAGUAUACCUGCUAGGGCACUUGGAAGCUAGAGAACAUCUUCGCUUACGGGAUCGACAAAAGUCGAUGGCGAUUUGGUGGGUUUGACCUUACCGAAAUGGGUAAAUUCCCUCUAUGUCUUCUUGACAUCUGAAAGUGGAAUUGUUGCAUAUUCAUGUGAAUAUAUGUGUAUAUUUGAAUGGAUGGAUACAUGCAUAAAUCUGCAUAGUAUAUCGGAUUAAAGGAAAUCUCUAUGUAGUAGGAGAGAAUUAUGAAAUUGCUUUGCAUAAAUAGAACAUUUGCUUGUUUAAUAUGCAAUACUUGAUAUUGUAUAUUUGUGUAGACAAGUUAAAUAGGAUAUCAUUCACGAAUGAAGGGAUAUAAAGCUAUGAAGACGACACUUAGUUUAGAUGUAUAACUAAGUGAAUGAUGCAUUAUAGUGGUUAAUCUUUAAGUUAAAUUCAUGCAAUUUCAUGUUGUAGACAUGAUGACAGAACUCUUAGCACAUCCUGUAUCAUAUAUUUAUAUGGAAAUCAUGUUAAAAGUAUAGUAGAGGAUGAUUCGCAUAUUUGUAUUGGUUAUUGCUUUCACGAAAUGACGGAAUAGAGAUAGCAUGAAUUUCAUGUUCUUAUCUAGAUGAUCUAGUCAAGUAACUAGAAUUGGGCAUUAUAAUAUAAUAUGAAUCUUAUACUAGUGAAUAUGUUCUAGUUAAAUAACUAGAAUUGGACAUGAGGAUAUACGUGUGUAGUCGAGUAGAAGUGUUUGCUUAAUACUUGUUUACUCCAGGUAGUGGAGGUUUUUAUAGAACCAUAGAAUAUGUGCCACGAGUUACAUGAACACUAAAAUGAGUCAUUGAGUAUGACCUUAGUAAACUACUUUCCUUAUGUAUAGGGAGUAGUGAGAAGAACUAUAUGUGAGUAUGAGGGUAUAGCCCGUUAGAAACAUCAAUAUGACGUAAAACAUGUACUUGUUAAGUCAUACUAUCAAUUGGUAGAAACAUGUCACCAAGUAGUUGAUAGUGGAUUAUGACUUAGUGUUAAUUGUCGACCUUGUGUCGAGUUGAGAUUCCAUGUUAGAGACAUGAUGAACUUGUGAUACCUAUGCUAUGGAUUACGCUUGCUUGCCAAUGUGCUCAUUCGCAUAUGCUUGUGAGGGUCGCGCCCCACAAGCCGGCACUUCGGAGUUAGCCUAGCGACAGAUUGCUCGCUUCUGUACAAGACUGAGCGCCGAAGUGGAUUGCUGUGGAUAGUGUUGACUUCCACGAAGCCAUUAGGCACAGCACGGGCUGGAACUUUACCAUAUGUAAGUCUCUUGUUAAUUGGGUUAAUGUUAGAAACUUUAACCUUAGAUGGACAUAGUAGUAAAAAUACUUUAUGUCAUUAGUUGAAUAUACCUAGUAUUGAGUAUACUAGAAGGUUGACAUCCCUGUUGGUCAAUAGUUUAGUGAUAAUUCCUGAAUGUUUACACUCUUGCUAGUGUAGGGAAAUAGCUAUAUGAUGUCAUUAGCUAGUUAAAUUAUAAUGAUGCUAUUCUGCAUACAGCCUGACAUAUAGCUAAUUAAACUGUUAAUUAGCAUAGGUCAUAGAACUCGUUAUGAUAAACUAGUACAUAAGACAUGUUAGAAACAUAUCUGGUGAGGCAUGCUAUAGUUGAUGUAUUUCAUUUACUUGUUGCAUUUACUUUAUUUACUUAUUGUUGUUGACUCAUGCCUCAGUUGACCUAGUGGUGUACUUCGCCACUCUCGGCGGCUUACCCACUGGGAACUAUUGUUUAAUAGUUCUCACGCUCUGUUGUUGGUUGUUUUUGUACAGAGCCUUCCACAGCGAGAAAGGCUAGGGUUCCUGGCAAGGGAUGAGCGGAUAGCUAGAGCCUCCUCGAUGUUAAAUAGAUGGAACCAUACCAGCCUUUCUAGUUUAGUUCAGUAUUGUAUACUGGGUUUAUGUAGAAUGUAUUCUGUUCUUAUCAGUUGUAAUAAGGUUAUGUGUUAUAUAAGUUUAUGAAUUUUUAAGUUUUGCUCUGAUUACCAGGUUAAGAUGUUAUGCUUUUAUUGUGUUAAUUGUAGACGUCUGGUGUACACUUGAGGUUGUGGUGUACACGGCGGGUCUGUACACGUGACUGGUGAGCUUCCGCUGAAGUCCAGGGCGUGAUAUUUAAACCGAAAAGAUCCGAAACCAAGAGCAAGCCAAAACCUGAAGUAACCUGCAUCGCAAUUAACAACAGAACUAAAAGCUGACACAAAAGACCUGAAACUCAAAUUGCCCCAGAUUAGAACAACCUGAAAUUUGAGCAUCCUAAAGCUCAAAGCAAAUCAAAUCAUGGAGUGCUGAGCCCCAGGCCCCCAAGACAAUCCAAACCAAGAGUCUGAUACCUAAUAUGAACCAGAGUGAGUGAAGACCCAAGGUGACCUGAACUCAAGCAACCUGCAACUCAACACUUGAAACAAUCCAAACCCAAGAAACCUUAAACCUGAAACUCAAGGGGUUAAGUGACCCAAACCCAAAAUUACCCCACCCAAACAUAUAGGUUUACAUUCCAACAAUAUUGUAGAGACUAGCAAAAUUUAAUUUUUUUAAGAAAUUUGAUUUUUGAAUUUUUAGUCGAAAUUUGGUUUUCGAGAAAGAGAAGACUAACUUUGCGUAACAAAAACGGAAUCUGACGAAACGAAAUCACCACUUGAAAGGCCUGGCAGUGCCAAAAGUCGUGGUAAAGUCCGUUUUUGGAUUUGACGCAAGAAAAGCGGAAAAUAAAGUGAAAACCGAAAAUUCGCCGAAAAUUGGAAAUUUGUAAUUAGGUGCUUUAUUUUAUGUACAGAAAUCUGCAAAAAGUGGCUGGGAGAAGGCUUUCGCAAAUUACACAGGCUGUGAUAUUAAAGGUUCAGGGGACUUCUGAGCGAUUUUUCAAUCAUUAUAAAAAUUGCUAUUAGGGUUUACUUAAUCCAAACGCUAAUAUCUUCUCUCCCUCAAACCCCCCAGUCGCCAUACUCUCUUCACAGCAACCCCGCCGCCACCUCCGUACCUUCCCACAAACCCCGGCCAACGAAGCCCCGACAAGGCAAUCCCCAGCCCUCUACCCCCCUUCCCCCCCAAUCUUGAACUCGAGGAUCUUCUAGGAGGCCGCGCCACCUCCUGUCAUCACCGCCGGCCCUCCGCAGGUCCAGUGACCCACCCCAGCGCUACCCAAGCGAUCCCUCCCCCCCUCGCCCAACUUGCUGGUUGGUGGGGUGAUCUUGGCCCCAAGAUCUUGGUCGUCGCCUCUACCACUCCCCGUCGUAGCGAUCCACCUCCGGCAACCCCAGAACAUCUUUCGGCGCUGCCCUGACAACCCAGGGCUCCCCUUUUGCCGAUGUUUAAAUCCUAAGCCGAGAGCCCUAGGUUUUGGCCGCGAGCUUCCUAGCGCCGACACUGCUACCGCCUUUCGUUGUCGGCUACUACCUCCCCUAACCCUGUCUGGUCGGCCUCGACCCUCCCCUACCGAGCUCGAUGCCGCUAGCAGCCGAAGCCUGAGGAGAAUAAGAAAGCUCCAAAACAAGGCUCGCGCUAGGGUUUCUUGGACCCUGCUAUCCUGUUCCGAAAUGCGGAAUCAUCGGUGACAGACUAAAACACUAGCAUUUUGUAAGGUACCGGACUUCUAAAACUAUGAAGUUACAGUGUACAUUUAAAUGGUUCCGGUGAGGUUGCGGUGGAAUGUAACAUACCGGAUAUUAAAUAUAAAAGUGAAAAUAAAUAAAAAUAGUAUGAGAUACUAUUUUUAUUGGAUUUAGAGAAGUGAAAUAUAAGUUGGGAAUGACCUGUGCUGAAAUCGGAGCGAAAACAGAAAAUUUAGAAUUUUCUGUAAGAAACGGGGCAGAUAAAUUAGCAGAAAAUGCAGUGUCAAAAAAUUAUGAAAAUUGGCGGAGAUGUCAGAAAUAUUUUUAUGAGGCUAGAUUUAAAGUUUCAUGCCAUUCUGCCACCCGGAAGGUGAAAAAUAGAAUCCGAAAGCUAUCUGAUAAAGAUUACAGUUUGGUACAGUUUUCGGUGACCAAACGAGGUCGAAACUGAAAUAUUAAAAUUUCUUUGGACUUAUUAAGUAAAAUCGAGCCUGCCUGUCAAAUUUGAGCUCAAACGGACAUUCAGAAGGGCUCCGGCAAAAAAUGUCAGUUUCUAAACUGCCCGAAGUGAAUAGUGCAUAGGUGAGGGACUAAGUUGUAAAAAGGGGUUUAAUCCCUUUUCUUCUCCUUCCUCAGCCGCAGCAGCCCCAAACCGCACACACACAUACGCAUACACACACGCAUGGAAGGGAGAGAGAAAACUUCCAUUUCUCUCUCUAAAUCUCUUCCAAAAUUAAAGAAAUUGGUGGAGAUUGAAGCUUGUAGGUGAAUCGUCUUCAUCUUCUUUAUCUUCUCUAUGGUUUGGAGCUAAUUUUGAGGUGAGCUUCUUGAGCCCUCUCAUGAUAGAUCUCUAGGAUUAGCUCUAUAUGCUAUAGAAAUGGAUUUAGUGGCAUUCUUAGAUGCUAAUUAGAUGUUUUAUUGCUUGAAUCCAAGGUUAUAUUGUGUAUUCUUGCAAUAGAUGAAACCUAGGGUUCAAAGUGCAAUUUUUGGAAAUAUGAGGGUUUGAUCUAAUUUGACCUUCCGUAAACCUAAUUGCUAGGUAAACGAACGCGUUGGCGAAGUCGGUUCGGCAAUUCGUCGAGCCGUUAUAGACUUAUGUUGGGGCACCGUGGCACAUAACCGAAGACCUUUAAUUUUCGGAUCGCAAAUCGGAGAUCGUUUGGGUGGUCGCGCGAGAGUUCGAGCCAAACCGGAUUGCGGGUGUCGCAGGCGGCCGAUUGCAAGUGAGUACAAGCAAUCGGAGAGUAAGUUAAGAUGGGUUGUGCUUACCGAAGCGACUAGGUCGCCGUUAUGUCUAAGAGAAUGUAAAUUCUUGUUGAUGCAUAGAUGUUUGUGCAUAUGAACAUAAUAGCAUUAUAGACUUAUGUUGACAAGUAUGAAAGCAUGCUAGAGAACAUGGAUAUAUGAAUAGAAGUUAACAUAUUGUUAAUCCUAUGAGUUAUGAGAUCAUGUUGGAUAAUGCUUAUUGACAUAAUGACAUAGUCUAGAAAUGCUAAAUGUAAUGUGCAUGUUAAUAUGAUAAGAAACCAUGCUAGUGAUAUUUGCAUGAUAAUGCAUUGAUAGUACAUGCUAGUAAGUAAAUGCAUAUUAAUACAUAUGUGUAUAAUGAGCAUGUUGGAUAAGAUUCGUGUACAUGUAGACUCGAGAUGACAAUAGGAUGUCAAGUAGAUCGAAUGGCACUUAACCUAGUGUUAAAGAACAUAGGUGGUGAAUGAAUCUAGGGUCAUGUGAACUAGAUCGAGUAGCAUCU